rnacentral:rRNA from 1 species
GUGGGGAAUCUUCCGCAAUGGACGAAAGUCUGACGGAGCAACGCCGCGUGAGUGAUGAAGGUCUUCGGAUUGUAAAGCUCUGUUAAUCGGGACGAAAGAGCCUAGUGUGAAUAAUGCUAGGAAGUGACGGUACCGGAAUAGAAAGCUACGGCUAACUACGUGCCAGCAGCCGCGGUAAUACGUAGGUGGCAAGCGUUGUCCGGCAUUAUUGGGCGUAAAGCGCGCGCAGGCGGAUCUGCCAGUCUGUCUUAAAAGUUCGGGGCUUAACCCCGUGAUGGGAUGGAAACUACAGAUCUAGAGUAUCGGAGAGGAAAGUGGAAUUCCUAGUGUAGCGGUGAAAUGCGUAGAUAUUAGGAAGAACACCAGUGGCGAAGGCGACUUUCUGGACGAAAACUGACGCUGAGGCGCGAAAGCCAGGGGAGCGAACGGGAUUAGAAACCCCGGUAGUCC